GAUGAACGCUAGCUACAGGCUUAACACAUGCAAGUCGAGGGGAAACGGCAUUACGUGCUUGCACUUUUUGGACGUCGACCGGCGCACGGGUGAGUAACGCGUAUCCAACCUUCCCAUGACUAAGGGAUAACCUGCCGACAGGCAGACUAAUACCUUCUGGUCUUCACUGACGGCAUCAGAUGUGAAGUAAAGAUUUAUCGGUUAUGGCUGGGGAUGCGUCUGAUUGGCUUGUUGGCGGGGUACCGGCCCACCAAGGCAACGAUCAGUAGGGGUUCUGAGAGGAAGGUCCCCCAGAGUGGAACUGAGACACGGGCCAAAGUGCUACGGGAGGGAGCAGUGAGGAAGACAGGUGAGGGGACGAGAGCCUGAAGCAGCAAAGUAGCGUGCAGGAUGGCGGCCCUAGGGAUGGUAAACUGCUGUUGUAUGAGGAUAAAGUGAAGCACAGGUGAUUGUUUGAAGGUACCAGAAGAAUAAGCACCGGCUAAUUCCGUG
rnacentral:rRNA from 1 species